GGGCCCGCCCGCCCGACAGGCAGAAAAUUCUGCCCAAGGAGUGAGUGAUGUUUCAGGACAGAAGGUGACUGAGUAGUUGAAAAAUGAGCGGUGAUUUAACAGAGACAUACAGUUCAGGAGAUACAUCAAAUGAGGGUGACACAAUUUGGUUCUGAAGACAACCAUCAAUAAAAGCACAGGAGAAAGUGAGGGUCAGGAAGGAAGUUCUGUAUCGUUUUGGUGUCAAACAAAUAAGCAGGCAUGGAGAGAGGCUGCAGAGCAUGUCAAUGCUUGAAGACCUGGUUGCAACAUAGGAUGACAUUCAAUGGUAUUUUUUGAGACUCUAACGGCCUGCUUUAUGGUGUGCAGGAAACAUGCACAAAUUCCUGGAUGUCAUGUACUGCUUGCUAUGUAGGAAGAGAAAAAAUCUAAUUAGUUAGAUUGCUGGGAUUAAUUGAAAGCCAUUUUGCUGGCACUACUUGUUUGUCUUUUUCCAUUUCUCAUUUGACAUGUCCAGAACAUUCAGAAGCUGAAAUGGAAUUCCCCUGCUCAGCCUCUUGUUUGGUUGCAGUAAAAUACAGGCAGCAACCAAGUGACGAAAAACCAGUGGGGCAGAAAGCCAUGAGGUGCAAAAACUGUUGAAUUCCCAGCUAAGUCAUUGAAUUUACAGGAAGAAAGGCAGUAAAAUUUACCAGAAGCAUUAAAAAAAACAUAUGACCAUGACUUCUAUCCACCUUUAAGAGGCCUGCUUGAACAAGCCUGGUGUCAACUAGGCAAGCAACGUGCUGUGGGAUGUCCCUUCCCCAAAUUCAGAAGUUCAGGCGAAACUUUCGCAACAAUUCAAUUUAAAUGCAGCCGGCACAUAUGCCAGUUAUGUGGCCUCAUUUUAGCAGCAAAAAUCACAGGCCUGAUUUCCCUCAUCAAACCCACUGCCUGUGAAGUUCAAUGCCCCAUGUGGGGCUCUAGAAAAUCUACUAUUUAAUGUAAUUUGUCUAGAGGCAUAGAGUUUUUUAUAAUGCAGCAUUGGUAUUCUAGACCUUGCCUUGCCACAUUUGCAUUUUUUGAGCUGUGAGAUUUAAAUGUCAUAAUUAUGUAAAUUAGUCAUAUAACCAAAUAAAAGGAUUGCCUUGGGACCGACAAUAACACAAAGGCUAAAUGCCGUAGCAGUCAUUCCACAAGCUUUGAAUCACAAGAAUGAAGAAGUGAGAAAAAUGUGCAGUGUCAGCUGGCUGAAUUGAUGAAAUAAAAGGCCAAAUUAUUGCAGAGUCAUGUGGCAUCUCCAAAUCUAUCAAAAUCAGGACAGGUAUCCAAGGACACUUUACUUGACCUAAAGUAAAGAAAGAUGUCAAAACUGUUUAAGGUAAAAUGACGUUCUGCUACAAGCUGUCAUUUCUCAGCUUGUCCAUGAAUAGGUUGUGGGUAUGCUGAGCCAGUAUUUGAUUUUUUUUGUUACUGUCAGUCCGCAGGCAGCCUUUUUUAUUUGGUUAUAUGACCAAUUUCCAUAAUUAUGUUGCAGGAAGAUCAAAUGCAGAUCCACUGACUCAGGAAUAUCAGAUAUAUAAUCACUGCCACUUCUGCUCCUCACCUCGGAACACAAUAAAGGAACCCAAGAGAAACCUCUAGUCUGUCCCAAAUAAAGUGCAGAAAAUGCUGAAAACGUACAGCAGGCUGACUAGCAUCUGAGACAAAACAAUAGGUAAAGCUUUGGAUGUGCUCUUCAUUAAAACUGUGCCCUGUUUCCUGUAGCCCUUCAAUAGGCUGACGUCACAAAAUGGAGUUCAUUUCCACUUCUGCCAAACUGGCAGGAUUGGCCCAGCCUCUGCUUAUAUAUCCUGGGAAAACUGGGUGGGUAUUGAACAGGCCUGUUUUCUGUCACUGAUGAAAGUCAACCUUAUCCUCAGUGUCGACAAGUUCUACUGGUUACAAGGGGAAACAAAUUGCUCAGGAAAAUAUUCUGAAAUUUUCCUUGCAUAGUGUAGAAGCAGGAUAUGCAAUUUGGAACUUUCUUUAUCAAUAGUGCGAAAACCAGUAAAUCAUUCAUAAGUGUAGGCUCAGAGAAUUUGGCACUCAGGAAAGAAGUAAGGCUUUUAAUUAUAACCUCUUUCACCUUCCGAAAAAAUACCAUGAUGAAAUAAAAAUACGGACGCUGAUAUCUGUAAGUUUACCCAUUAUAUUUCCAUGCCAUGUGUCAUCUAAACUGUAAGCCAAAAAUUGGUAAGCUUUUUUUUGCUUAGCUGGGUAUCUGACACAUACAUUGCCAUGCUUAAGCAUUUCAAAACCAAGCUACAAUGCAGAGUUUCUGUUUGCCAAUUAGGGAGUUCACACUCUCUCCCCAACAGGAGACAUUCAGUUUAUCUUAGUCCAUAGAGCUUAGGCACAGAUUGGCAGAAACAAGAUUUAGAAACUACAGGUGUAUGAAGUGUAAAGCUAGAACUUUAAGUAAAAUCUUGCAGCUCACUAAUAUAAAAGACUAGUAAGCUUCCUGUUACUUCCUGCCCUAUGAGUUAGGACUUCGAUUUUCAGAGUUAUUUAGAACUGCGUGGAAAGAUUCCCAACCCCUAAUGACAUGACACAUCUUCCAGGUCCCAUUAAUGAGCCAAAAUAGCUUGUCAGUCAGCAACAAUGCCCUGGAGGAUUCCGAACACAUUACCAAUAUUGGCACAUAGGGUGGACUCAUUCUGAAUUUCCGUCACCAGGUGUGGCAUUUUGAAGAUAGUUAGGGGCAAUUUUCACUUAACUCUUGGAUGAGAAACACAUGGGAUUAGGUAGAAUGUUGGUUGUACCCCCACCCAAUAAUACUCUGCAUUGUCUUCAAUAGAGAGCAAAAUAAAUCAGGUGUAAAAGCAGUGUUACACUCAAUCAUAUCAGUUGCCUGGUGAGUGGGCUAGGUUAAGAUUUACCCACCCAGAUCCCUUUUUACCUUAUCAGGAGGAUUGGCAAGUGUGAAACAUAUAACUGCAACUAGGGAAGUCAAAAUUGUAGAGUAAAGGGUUAACUCUAACACUACUCUAAUAAUUUCUACUGAGCAUGUGCGUAAGGAGCUAUGUCAUAAUGAUGUCACUCAGAGAGAAAUGAGCAAGAAGAACUUAAGAGAGGUGCAAUAGCCCUGUCCUGAUGUUCUGUAAUCUUGUAUGUACUUAUUUGCAUAAAUAAAAGUACUUUUAAGGAAAAA